AAACUGCAGCUAGAAUGGACGGAGACGUAUCGCUCGAGUCACAACAAGAUAAAGUGUUACGUUGUGGAUAAAAGCACCCAUACUGCACAACGAGAAUGAGCAAGUGAAUCGCUGGUUGGGAUUAUGCGUGUAGAUGAAGAAUAUGCUGGGACUGAAUGGGAAGGACAACCAGUCCUUCAAGGAUUCCACGAUCGCCAAAUAUAAUGAGAGGGCUUCUUAAAUUUGACCUAUCACCACACUAUUUCUGCAUAUAACAGUAAAAUCGUUGCAAUAUGAUCGCAUAAAACUGACCCAUCACCGCAGUAAAAAACGAGGGCUCGCAAUUUCAACCAAUCAUCACACAUUUACUGCAUAAUAUGUCACGUCAACAAACUUUUUCCCUCUUCAGCACAUUUUCGCAACAAAUUGGACAAAAUCAUUGCAUAUUGUCAUGCAAAAUGUCAGAAUUUUCCCAGACAAAUCAAGCAUUUUGCCCACAAAUAUCACGAAUAAUCCCAGCGAAAUCCUGGGGGGACUGGAUAACGAGCAGCAUUAGCUAAUUUUGUGGGUUUUUUAUCACUGGUUAUUUGGAUGUACGAUGAUUGGGCAAAGACGGUGCUUAGGGUGGCUUCAUGUGCUCGUGGGAAAUGGGAAACUGGGAGGUGGGAAGUGGUAAGUCUGACAUGAUUGUGUUUAUGUGCCUUUGAAGUCAAAACAAUUGCUCAACCAAUAAGAUUAUAGCUAGCUUGCUAACAUUGCUAAUAAUAAAGUUAGCUAGCUUGCAUAACAUUGCUAAUAAUAAAGUUAGCUAGCUUGCAUAACAUUGCUAAUAAUAAAGUUAGCUAGCUUGCAUAACAUUGCUAAUAAUAAAGUUGGCUAGCUUGCAUAACAUUGCUAAUAAUAAAGUUGGCUAGCUUGCAUAACAUUGCUAAUAAUAAAGUUAGCUAGCUUGCAUAACAUUGACAUAAGGUCAAACUAGCUACAUUCUCCAUAUUGAUCAUUUUGUAAUUGUCAAAACCAAAUUUGUUGUUAUCUUUUGGUUAAAAAGGUAAAAAUGUAAAGGUAAAAAGUCUGCAAAUCGGGUAAUAUUUUUUUUUCAGAGUUUCCCACUUGUGAUUCCGACUUGGAGGAUCGUUCAAGUGGAAUUUCCCACUGAAAACUAGGAGCUUCCGAUAACUCCAAUAGCACCUGAACGCAGCACGCGUAAGUAAAAAACUUAUCGGAAGGAGGGGGGUGCUUUGGCUGAGAGUUUCCUUUUGCAAGGGUGGAG